rnacentral:rRNA from 1 species
GCCCGCCAGAUCAGUACGAGCGAAAGCUUAAAACUCAAAGGACUUGACGGUGCCCCACACCAACCUAGAGGAGCCUGUUCCAUAAUCGAUAACCCACGCUCAACCCGACCGCCCCUCGCCCAUCAGCCUAUAUACCGCCGUCGUCAGUUCACCCCGCAAGGGUCGAAAAGUGAGCAUAAACGUCAUACACUAAAACGACAGGUCAAAGCGUAGCAAAUGAGGCGGAGCGAAAUGGGCUACAAUCUCUACAACAGAGGAAACGAAAGAGUGACAUGAAAAAUCACCCGAAGCUGGAUUUAGCAGUAAGUUGAACUAGCCUGUUCACCUGAACACAGUCCCGGGGCGCGCACACACCGCCCGUCACCCCCAUCCUCCAACCCACCACCCAAAUCCAUAAAACAAAAUCACACCAAAGAUGGGGUAAGUCGUAACAUGGUAAGCGUACUGGAAAGUGCGCUUGAACAC